AAUGGGCGAAAGCCUGAUGCAGCAACGCCGCGUGCGGGACGAAGGCCUUCGGGUUGUAAACCGCUUUUCUGAGGGACGAGCAAGGACGGUACCUCAGGAAUAAGUCUCGGCUAACUACGUGCCAGCAGCCGCGGUAAAACGUAGGAGGCGAGCGUUAUCCGGAUUUACUGGGCGUAAAGCGCACGCAGGUGGCUGCGUAAGUCGGACAUGAAAGCUCCUGGCUUAACUGGGAGAGGUGGUUCGAAACUGCGUAGCUUGAGGUUGGGAGAGGGACGUGGAAUUCCCGGUGUAGUGGUGGAAUGCGUAGAUAUCGGGAGGAACACCAGUGGCGCAAGCGGCGUCCUGGCCCACACCUGACGCUGAGGUGCGAAAGCGUGGGUAGCAAA
rnacentral:rRNA from 1 species